rnacentral:misc_RNA from 1 species
CUGGACAAACACAGCUGGUGUCGAGCCAGCGUCGGCCGCCAUACGGCCCUCGCCUGCAGCGGGACGGCAGGGCAGCCCGCAGCCGGCGGAGCUGCGCGAGCUCUUCAUUUCACUGCGCGCGGUGGCGCCGGGAGGCGCACCGCGACCGCGGUGGACGCGGCGAUCCAGGCGCAGAACGCGGCGAGGGCGACGGGCCACGGCACGCUCCCUCCGGUGCCGACGACGACGACGACGUUGACGCAAAGGGAGGCGGCGACGAGCAGCGAGAGGGAGAGCGGCAGGAGCCGCGGGCCCAUAGCCGUGGCCAAUACUACCAAAUACCAAUAG